GCCGCUGUGGUGGAACCGGCAGACACAAGGGACUUAAAAUCCCUCGGGGGAGACUCCGUACGAGUUCAAGUCUCGUCAGCGGCA
rnacentral:tRNA from 2 species